rnacentral:rRNA from 1 species
CCCUUAGAUGUUCUGGGCCGCACGCGCGCUACACUGACGAAUGCAACGAGCUUAUAACCUUGGCCGAAAGGUCUGGGUAAUCUCCAAAUUUCGUCGUGAUGGGGAUAGAUUAUUGCAAUUAUUAAUCUUCAACGAGGAAUGCCUAGUAAGCGCAAGUCAUCAGCUUGCGUUGAUUACGUCCCUACCCUUUGUACACACCGCCCGUCGCUCCUACCGAUUGAAUGGUCCGGUGAAGCGUUCGGACCGUGGCCUUUGGACGGUUCGCCGUCUGUUGGCUGCGGGAAGUUCGUUAAACCUUAUCAUUUAGAGGAAGGAGAAGUCGUANCA